rnacentral:tRNA from 1 species
GCCGCGGUAGCUCAGUGGUGGAGCGCUUGCCUGAAGAGCAAGGCGUCGGGUGUUCGAUUCACCCCCGCGGCACCA